rnacentral:rRNA from 1 species
GAUGAACGCUGGCGGCGUGCCUAAUACAUGCAAGUCGAGCGAACAGACGAGGAGCUUGCUCCUCUGACGUUAGCGGCGGACGGGUGAGUAACACGUGGAUAACCUACCUAUAAGACUGGGAUAACUUCGGGAAACCGGAGCUAAUACCGGAUAAUAUAUUGAACCGCAUGGUUCAAUAGUGAAAGACGGUUUUGCUGUCACUUAUAGAUGGAUCCGCGCCGCAUUAGCUAGUUGGUAAGGUAACGGCUUACCAAGGCAACGAUGCGUAGCCGACCUGAGAGGGUGAUCGGCCACACUGGAACUGAGACACGGUCCAGGCUCCUACGGGAGGCAGCAGUAGGGAAUCUUCCGCAAUGGGCGAAAGCCUGACGGAGCAACGCCGCGUGAGUGAUGAAGGUCUUCGGAUCGUAAAACUCUGUUAUUAGGGAAAAACAAAUGUGUAAGUAACUAUGCACGUCUUGACGGUACCUAAUCAGAAAGCCACGGCUAACUACGUG